rnacentral:rRNA from 1 species
GACCCGACUGCUAUCGGAUAGAGAUUAAGCCAUGCGAGUCGAACAUUUCUCAACUAUGUGAGAAGUGUGGCAUACGGCUCAGUAACACGUGGUCAACCUACCCUAAAGACAUGAAUAACCCCGGGAAACUGGGAUUAAUAUAUGAUAGGUCAUUUUUCCUGGAAUCGGUUUAUGACUUAAAGGAUUGUUAAGCAUGUUUGAUUAAUUGCUUUAGGAUGGGACUGCGACCGAUCAGGUUGUUGGUGGGGUAAUGGCCUACCGAGCCUAUAACCGGUGCGGGCUUUGAGAGAAGGAGCCCGGAGAUGGACACUGAGAAAAGGGUCCAGGCCCUACGGGGCGCAGCAGGCGCGAAAACUUUGCAAUGUGCGAAAGCACGACAAGGUUAAUCCGAGUGCAACAUGCUGAAUGUAGCUUUUGGUAAAUGUAAAUAGUUUAUUGAAUAAGGGGAGGGAAAGUCUGGUGUCAGCCGCCGCGGUAAUACCAGCUCCCCGAGUGGUCGGGACGAUUAUUGGGCCUAAAGCAUCCGUAGCCUGUUCUGUAGGUCUUAUGUUAAAAUCAAUUGCUUAACAAUUGAACUGCAUGAGAUACCACAAAACUAGGAGGCGGGAGAGGUGGACGGUACUCCACGGGUAGGGGUAAAAUCCUCUGAACCGUGGAAGACCACCAGUGGCGAAGGCGGUCCACCAGAACGCGCUCGACGGUGAGGGAUGAAAGCUGGGGUAGCGAACCGGAUUAGAUACCCGGGUAGUCCCAGCUGUAAACGAUGCAAGCUAGGUGAUGCAUCAGCCACGUGUUGAUGCAGUGCCGCAGGGAAGCCGUUAAGCUUGCCGCCUGGGGAGUACGGUCGCAAGGCUGAAACUUAAAGGAAUUGGCGGGGGAGCACCACAAGGGGUGAAGCCUGCGGUUCAAUUGGAGUCAACGC